rnacentral:rRNA from 1 species
AACGAACGCUGGCGGCAGGCCUAACACAUGCAAGUCGAGCGAGGACUUCGGUUCUAGCGGCGGACGGGUGGGUAACGCGUGGGAAUGUGCCCUUCUCUACGGAAUAGCCCUGGGAAACUGGGAGUAAUACCGUAUACGCCCUAUUGGGGAAAGAUUUAUCGGAGAAGGAUCAGCCCGCGUUGGAUUAGGUAGUUGGUGGGGUAAUGGCCUACCAAGCCGACGAUCCAUAGCUGGUUUGAGAGGAUGAUCAGCCACACUGGGACUGAGACACGGCCCAGACUCCUACGGGAGGCAGCAGUGGGGAAUCUUAGACAAUGGGGGCAACCCUGAUCGAGCCAUGCCGCGUGAGUGAUGAAGGCCUUAGGGUUGUAAAGCUCUUUCAGCUGGGAAGAUAAUGACGGUACCAGCAGAAGAAGCCCCGGCUAACUCCGUG